CACGUAGGGUGCGAGCGUUGUCCGGAAUUAUUGGGCGUAAAGAGCUCGUAGGCGGUGUGUCACGUCGGCCGUGAAAACUUGGGGCUUAACUCUGAGCGUGCGGUCGAUACGGGCAUCACUUGAGUUCGGCAGGGGAGACUGGAAUUCCUGGUGUAGCGGUGAAAUGCGCAGAUAUCAGGAGGAACACCGGUGGCGAAGGCGGGUCUCUGGGCCGAUACUGACGCUGAGGAGCGAAAGCGUGGGGAGCAAACAGG
rnacentral:rRNA from 1 species